rnacentral:rRNA from 1 species
AUUGAACGCUGGCGGCAUGCUUUACACAUGCAAGUCGAACGGUAACAGGCCGCAAGGUGCUGACGAGUGGCGAACGGGUGAGUAAUGCAUCGGAACGUGCCCAGUCGUGGGGGAUAACGCAGCGAAAGCUGCGCUAAUACCGCAUACGAUCUCGGGAUGAAAGCGGGGGACCGAAAGGCCUCGCGCGAUUGGAGCGGCCGAUGUCAGAUUAGGUAGUUGGUGGGGGAAAGGCCCACCAAGCCAACGAUCUGUAGCUGGUCUGAGAGGACGACCAGCCACACUGGGACUGAGACACGGCCCAGACUCCUACGGGAGGCAGCAGUGGGGAAUUUUGGACAAUGGGCGCAAGCCUGAUCCAGCAAUGCCGCGUGCAGGAAGAAGGCCUUCGGGUUGUAAACUGCUUUUGUACGGAACGAAACGGUCCGGGUUAAUACCCUGGGCUAAUGACGGUACCGUAAGAAUAAGCACCGGCUAACUACGUGCCAGCCGCCGCCGUAAGAC